rfam:Erinaceus europaeus unplaced genomic scaffold scaffold00786, whole genome shotgun sequence
GUCACUUCUCAGCCUUUUGGCUAAGAUCAAGUGUACUGUCUGUUCUUAUCAGUUUAGUAAAUAAAUAAAUAAAUUUUUAAAAAAGAAGAGCAACUGAACUUUAGAUCUUCAACUCUUGACUUUUAUUAUCUUUAUUUAUUGGAUAGAGAUAGAAAUCAAGAGGGAAGGGAAAGAGAUUGAGAGACACCUG